AUUCAGUUGGGCACUCUAAGAGACGUAGCCGGUCGGUCAAACGUAACGGGAAGGUAGGGAGGUGACGUCAAGUCCUCAUGGCCUUUAUGCCCAGGGCUACACACGUGCUACAAUGGAUCGUACAAAGGGUCGCGAACCCGCGAGGGGGAGCCAAUCCCAAAAACCGGUCCUCAGUUCGGAUUGGAGUCUGCAACUCGACUCCAUGAAGUUGGAAUCGCUAGUAAUCGUGGAUCAGCAUGCCACGGUGAAUACGUUCCCGGGCCUU
rnacentral:rRNA from 1 species